GGAUCUGACUUGACUAAAGCAGGUCUAAACCCAAAAAUAGAUACUUAGAUUGGAUAAAGAUCUGGGCGAGAGUAGUACUAGGAUGGGUGACCUCUUGCGAAGUCCUCGUGUUGCACCCC
rnacentral:rRNA from 1 species